rnacentral:rRNA from 1 species
UCCGCCGGCGACCGGCGCACGGGUGAGUAACGCGUAUGCAACCUGCCCGUUUCAGCGGGAUAACCCGGAGAAAUCCGGCCUAAUACCGCAUGUGGCCGAGGGGAGGCAUCUUCUUUCGGCCAAAGGAGGCGACUCCGGAGACGGAUGGGCAUGCGUGACAUUAGCUAGUUGGCGGGGUAACGGCCCACCUAACCGACGAUGCGUAGGGGUUCUGAGAGGAAGGUCCCCCACACUGGUACUGAGACACGGACCAGACUCCUACGGAAGGCAGCAG